GACUGAAGUGGAGAAAGGUUCCAUGUGAACAGCAGUUGGACAUGGGUUAGUCGAUCCUAAGAGAUAGGGAAAUUCCGUUACAAUGCGUCCCAUUCGUGGACCGCCUAUCGAAAGGGAAUCGGGUUAAUUCUCUCGAACCAAAACAGGGAUACUGCAACCUAAUGGCACCAGCGGCAACGCAACAGAACUCGGAGACGUCGGCGAGAGGCCCGGGGAAAGUUCUCUUUUCUUUUUAACGGGCAAAGUUACCCUGAAAUCGGUUUAGCCGGAGAGAGGGUUUCACGUCCUGUAAAACCCCACACUUCUUGUGUGGUCCGGUGCGCUUUCGACGGCCCUUGAAAAGCCGAGCGAGUAGUUCAUUUUCUUGUCUGGUCGUACUCAUAACCGCAGCAGGUCUCCAAGGUGAGCAGCCUCUAGUUGGUAGAACAAUGUAGGUAAGGGAAGUCGGCAAAAUAGAUCCGUAACUUUGGGAAAAGGAUUGGAUCUAAGGGUUGGGUCUGUCGGGCUGGGACUUGAAGCGUGAGGAUUCGGCGUGGACUGAGAGAGAUGCGUGACUCGCUGCGCGUUGAAGUCGGACUGCGAAGGGACUUCCGUGGAUUGGCUCAGCUGUGACCGUCAGGUCGAUUCGGCAGGCGAUUAACAACCAACUUGGAAUUGGAACGAACAAGGGGAAUCCGACUGUUUAAUUAAAACAAAGCAUUGCGAUAGCUGGUGACUGGUGUUGACGCAAUGUAUUUUCUGCCCAAGUGCUCUGAAUGUCAAAGUGAAGUAAUUCAUCCAAGCGCGGGUAAACGGCGGGAGUGACUAUUAUUAAUUCGGGUGUCAGGCCGAAAAAGCGAACCAAUAUAUGUGAAGCGAGGUGUGAAGCAGGGUGAUCCAAUGUCUGUGCACUUAUUCAAUGCUGUAAUAGACUGGGCAUUAUCUA
rnacentral:rRNA from 1 species